GUUGAAGCCCACAGGGUGCACUACUUGGCUUCGGGUAUAUGGGAGCAGUGAGUGCGGGUCCUGAAUGAGAGGCAGGAGAGUGCCGGCUGGAAGACCUGAAUGUCGGGGGCAGCUCAGACAAUGACGCGAUCAGGCUGCCACCCCGCUCUUCCCAAGAAGUUAUACCGCGAAGUCAGCUCUCGCGGGAUCUUGCGAGUUCUGUGAGCGCCAAUAGGGACUCCUGGGUGCGAAGCCCCUGAGCGCCCUCUCCUAAAACUUCUCCAUGAGGAGUCUGGUUCACACCACCUAUCAGGCCAACCCCAAUCCCUCUCUACCCCCACGCAGCACUAAGUCAAGACGUCGCCAGUGCCUGUACCCAGGGGCAUCAGCCGUGGUGUGCAAAACCUCUGUCCCAAAGGCUAUGCUGGAACAAGACCUCUUGAGACUCACACCGAGGGAGUGAAUGGCAGCGCCUACCAAAUGUGCACAGGGCUAGGAGAAAGAAACUGCAUGUUCCAACUUCCAGCAGAUGGCAGCUUCCAAGCCUGCUCAGAGAGAGAAUAACAGAUUAUCAUGCAAUUUAGAGGAGAAAUUUCGCUGACAUUUAUUUCUUCAAAAUUGAUGUUAAUAUCUCAUGGGGCAUACAUUUGAUAAAAUAUAAUCUGAAAAAAUUAUCUGUUAUUUCACGUACUGUUGGAAAAUUCAAUGUCUACUUCUGUGACAAUUGCAAAAAUAAAUGAUAUAUUUCAUAAAGAUUUUUAAUACUACCAUUUAUUUGUAUAUGUAUACGUAAAUCAAUAAUUAAGAAUUCUUUAGAGUACUUAAGGUGGAUAAAUCCAUAACCUUGUGUAAAUUGAGAGCCAGUUGAAGUAGUUUCUAAAAUCCCUUAGUGUUGCACUGUCCAGCAACAUAGCCAAUAGCUACAUGUGGUUAUUUAAAUUAAAAUGUAUUAAAAUGUAUUAAAAUGUAUUAAAAAUAUUUAAAAAAUUAUUUCCUUAGUCACUCUAACCAUGUAUAAAGCCACAUGUUGUUAAUAUCCAUCAAUGAACAGAAUAGUUUGUAAGACAGUUCAUCAUCACAGAAAGCUUUAUUGGGCUGUACUUCCUUGAACUCUAAAUAGUCUAUGGAUUUAAUUGAAUAUUAAUUCUUUAAAUGAUUUCUAAUAAAUAGGUUACUCAUAAAUGUCAGAGUUAUUUCAGCAUCCUUUUCUUAUAAUACCACACCUAAAGGAACUCAGACUCUAGUGGGGGUUGUCACUUUAGAAAGCAUAUGCUAUAUUAGUUCUAAGAUAAUGAGGCAUGGUAGCCAUCAUGCAUCAUGCAGUGCUGCUCUGAAGGUAUGUAGAAUUUAAGAAGAUGUGUAAGUUUUCUCAGGGUAUCAUGACAUAAUGGAUUUUGAUUUCAGCCUAUGCCCCAAAACACAAAUGGCCUUUCCUUUCUAUGAAACAGAAUAUCAUUCUCUUUGAUGAAGGAUGAUAGAAAAUGCAGAUCACAGCAAAGACAAUAUAGAUGUAACAAACAUUUAGGUCACAGAGAACAGCUGGACAAACACAAUUUUCUCCAAGUGUUAAUGAGAAUAAUACGCCACCAGCUUUGUAAAGACCGUGUUUCAAGGGAGCAAAAGUCCAUGCUUGCCGUUAACAAAUGCAAAGAUUACGAGCUAUUCACAUCUAUAUAACAAGACUCUAAAAGACAUUGGCAUCUGAGGGAAAAAUGUAACUAUUUACAGAGGAUGCCAGAUAGCACAUAGAAAAUGGAACCAAAUUUAAAAAGAGCCAAGCAAAGAGGAAUUUAUAUAGAAAAUACACUGGCCAUUAUUAUCUGACCCUUAAUGGGAAAAACUAGAGGUUUAUACAAAAAAAGUUUAAUAAAUCUGUUACAUUCUUUUAAGUCUUUGUAUGUAGAAGGUGUGGGUUAAUGCAUAAUUUGCAUCUAGAUGAUUUUGUUAAGAUUCUUUUAAUUAGUUAUUCCCAAUAACCUGUUUUGUUUAUUUUAGAAAAUGAGUUGACACAUUGCCUUAUGCAAGACACAUUUCCUUCCCAGACAAGUAGGGGGACCGAGCUAUAUUUGACCAUUAAAAAUAAAAAUUUUCCUUUUUGAAAAGGAAACACGAAUCCUUUUCUUUUGCUCUCUAUAAAAUGGCUAUUGCAUUGUGGAACACCAUGAUGUGUUAUGCUAUACAAGUGUUCUUAUUGAAUCUUAUUGAAGAACUUGGAUUUUGUAGUAAUGAAGAACUCUGUUUGAAUCUUGGCUGUGCUCUUCACUACUUGAUUGACCUUUGGAAAUGACUUAAAUCCCUGAAACUUGAUUUUCUCAUCUGGAAAAUAAGGAUAAUAAUAUCUCCUAUCUAACUAACUUGGUAUAAUAUUUGAAUAAGGUAAUGUUUACAUACAAAAAUUACUAAAAUUAACAUGUUACUUUUUUAUUUAGACAUUAUUUUGCAGUAAUUACAACAAUACAUAUUUUGUUGCAUGAUAUAAAUUAUUUGAGGAAGGAACUAUUCUGGGACUUUGAAAGGAGAGUGUUGUUACAGGUAUUGGCUUGACCCACAUUGACAGGUAAAUCAGCUACUCCUUUACUCUCCCAAGGUCAUUCCUUCCAGUUGUGCAUUCUACUUGGUAUUCAGGCUUGUAAGCCAUCCUUUGAAGUUGUAGAUUUGUCUUAUUCCUGAUAGAUCUUAAGCUUCUUUUAAACUGGAGUGAAGUUUGGGUAACAUUUCUAAUCACCGAAGAAUUCUUUCUAAAGAGUGUGAUUUUUUUGCCCCUAAAUUUCAUAGGCUUUGCAUUAUCUUAUAAAGGAAGAAAAGAGAUUUUAAAGAUGUACUACGCAUGUGACGCUUUACUUAAACUUUCAGACUUCUGAUCAUUCUAAAAAUGAUGUUUUGGGAGGAAAAUAAAAAUAAAACCAUAGGUCUUAUGAUGAUUUCUGAUAUUCCACAAUAAAAAAUCAAUCACUUACAUUUACUUUUUGACAUAAAUAAAGAGUGACAUUGGAAUACUUUGUUUUGCAUAGCAUUAAAAUGAACUUAGUUUCUCCUAUAAUCUUUGUGAUCUCCUAGGAAUCCUAAGAAAAUCUUACCUCUACUUUUUCUUAGAUCCCGGUUAUAUUAACCAGGAAACUCUUUGUAAUAUAAUUAAAGGACAGAAUUUUAAAGCAUGAAUAAUUUUCGAGUAUUUUGUAUUUCAGCCAUUUUUGAAGUAUUAUGUACUUCAAUUUAUGGAAGAGAAUACCAUAAACUUACCAGACAUAUUAAAACUAUGUGUUAGAGUUAGGAUUUGGACUUGGUUUAGGGGUGUGUGUGUGUGUGUGUGUGUGUGUGUGUGUGUGUAUCACUUUUUUUCUUUCACACACACAUUUUUUUCUUUUAUACUUAGUAAUGUACAAAAUAUAAGUAUAUUCUGUAAAUCAAAGCUCAUUAGUUCACAAAGACCUUCAAUUUUUAUGCCUUCAUCUACCUCCUUUUAAAUGUGCCCUUAUUUAUAUUUGUUUACGUAAAGCUUGUAGUUAUGUUUAUUCAAACUAUUGAUAGAUGGUUGUUUAAGAGAUUUCCAGUUGCUUGUCAUUUCCAGUGAUGACAACAUAAAUAACUUGAAAAUAUGUUAUUUCAUGUGUUGGAGGUGAUUCUUCAGUACAGAUUCCUAAGAUUGAGAUUUUAUUUUGUUCCUCUGAUAGAAGAGCCUUGUGCAGUAAACAAAACAAAACAAUAACAACAAAAAAUGUGGGGAAAUGUAUCUUAGCCGAAAGAAGUCCCACCUGUACCUUCUGCCAAAUAAACUCUGAUGGCCCUCCUUUGAGAAUGGUUUCCUCUUCUGCAUAAGACUACAGCCUCCAACCUCAUGGAGGCUGUAGUCAGCAUUCUCUGAAUUAUCUGAAUAGGAUUUGCUGACAUCCUUAUCAUUUAUCCCUAAAUAGUAAAUCCACGUAGGGAGAAAAUCAUUAUUAGCCUGACAAUGAAAAAAUAACCAAAAUGAAAAUUCAGUAUGUUCUGAUACACAAUAAAAGGUAUGUUUGCUUAUUGACAAACUGAUGAUGAAGUAUGGAUAUUUAUAUAAGCAGUAAUGGCUGUAUGGUUCAAUAAAAACUAAACCUAUCAACAAUAAACAUAAUCCUCUUAAGUUGCUUAAUAAUAGCUUUUGACAUUGACAUUCAUGGUUUCAUAACCUCUCAUCUUGAAGAUUCUAACAAGCUUGGUAACAUUUUUUAAGCAUGUUCUAAAAGACAAACCAAACAAAGGGAUUACUGCAACACACUCAGAAAUAGAAAUGCUCACCACUACACAACUGUACAUGACAGAAAGUAAAGAAGCAUGCAACAUCCAAUUGAAACUACAUUAAAAAUUUAGGUGAACAGGAUUAUCCAGCUUGGAAUGCAGCCAGGAGAAGGAUAAAGAAUUUAGAAUUAUCAUAGAGGAAUAAUGUGGAAAUGCUAACUGCUAAACCAAAACAUCAACUUCUGUUAUUAAAAUAACUUUCUGGCACUGAGGAUACAUGGCUUAUGUGUUUUUAAUUUAGUAUAUUUGCAUGUUAAAAUUAUUUCAACACUGUGGAUAUUGUGAAGGAUUUACUUUUUAUUGUAAUUCAAUCACAAUUAAUAAACAUUACAUAUAAAAGACACUAUCUAAAAUUAUUUAACCUGAAUUAUAUUUUUCUUCUAAUUAAACUAAUUUCAUUGUUUAGUAAGUUAUAGGUUUAGAAUUGGAUGAUACAACUUUUAAAGUAAAAAUUAUAAAAAAUUGCAUAUAGUAAAGUAACCUUAAAAUCGAACAUGCAUAACCUUAAUGCCUUAACUAUUUCCACUCCAUAUUUUCUUAUCUGUAUCUAUGUAAGUAUUUUAUACAAUUUCAUAUAUAUAG